rnacentral:rRNA from 1 species
UACAGAGGGUGCGAGCGUUGUUCGGAAUUACUGGGCGUAAAGCGCGCGCAGGCGGCUCUUUAAGUCUGACGGUGAAAUGCCGGGGCUCAACCCCGUGCCCGCCGCGGAUACUGGAGGGCUGGAGACACGUAGAGGCAAGCGGAAUUCCGGGUGUAGCGGUGGAAUGCGUAGAGAUCCGGAAGAACACCGGUGGCGAAGGCGGGUCUCUGGGCCGAUACUGACGCUGAGGAGCGAAAGCGUGGGGAGCGAACAGG